AGCUCUUGUGUGCGUGCAUGCUAAGCAUUCCAAUUUCUUUCGACUGUUCAAGGAUUUAUUUGUGAAGUGGCUCUCAGCGAUGGCAGUCUACCUACCGACCGACACCGCAGCUCUUGGCUGGGGUACCUAUUGCCUCACUUAGUUCCUCGAAAGAAAAUGAGGUGCUGGAAGCAGUCCAGCCGAGAAGAGCGACCAGACGAAGAGUUCAGACUCCUGAGAACACGUGAAUACUAACUCGUGGGCGGCCCACGGUGGCUCCGAUAUUCCAGUCCACAAAAGAAUCGGGCUGAAGAUUGCUACUACUCCUCAGAGCACACACUCGACUGUGUAAGAGCUUUUCUGUCCGCGCGUGUGUGUCAGGAGGAUGAAUGACGUGCAGUUUGUGGCACAGUUGUAGGCUUUUUUUUUAAAUUUUUUAUCGUGCAUCUUUCUGCAACUGUGACGUGCUGAUCAUUCUCAAUGUCUGUGCCUUUUAACUUGAGCUCUCAUUUUAAGGGCCGCACUCAGAAACUGGUUUCAUUUGGUGACGUAGAUUUUUGUACCGUGUCUAGCACCACAUGAAAUGAGGCUUCUGGGAGGUGGACUCACACCAUUUUCUCAAUGUCCAGCUGUUGUAAAAUGCGCUAUAUCAAUGAAGUUGUACGUAUUGUAUUUGUGGACCGCUCGGGUGGUAAAAGUGCGCGGUGGCGAUUCAGCGCCUCACCAGAUCCGGCAGAUGGCGCUGUUUCAUAUCCAUGCGGAGGAGCGAGUCAAAUGCAAAAAUUGAUGUGAAUAAAGUUGUCUUAAUCCGAAA